GCCACGAUAGCUCAGUUGGUAGAGCAAUUCACUCGUAAUGAAUAGGUCGUCGGUUCAAGUCCGACUCGUGGCU
rnacentral:tRNA from 1 species